CGCGCACACGCACACACACACACACACACACACACACACACACAUAUAUAUAUAUAUAUAUUCAAAAGUGACUGAAUACAAAAGGUGUCCUAAUACACAUGAGUCAACUCAAAAUACAAAAGUCAUGGAUAAAAACUAUCCAAGAGUUAAUUAGCCAACAAAUACAAGGCCCAUAAGAUAGAUCCUAGACAUAGGAGACAAACUAAUCUAGAUCUAAUAGAUGUCAUGGCUAGAGGGAUCAGAAUCUGAAGAAUCAGAGAUAGGAUGAGG
rnacentral:lncRNA from 1 species